UAGGAUUCCCUUAGUAGCGGCGAGCGAAAUGGGAAAAGCCCAGCACUAAGCCCAUCUAACAGCAAUGUUUUAUGGGGAUGCAGUGUAUGGAGAGUUCAUUAGCUCACUGCAAUCGGUUAGUAGAUUCAAGUCCAUCUUGAAUGGGGCCACUUAUCCCAUAGAGGGUGCCAGGCCCGUAGCAAUUACUUUCCGGCAGUUUGCGAACUCCUCCUAAGAGUCGUGUUGCUUGAUAGUGCAGCACAAAGUGGGUGGUAAACUCCAUCUAAGGCUAAAUAUAACCACGAGACCGAUAGAGAACAAGUACCGUGAGGGAAAGUUGAAAAGAACUCUGAAUAGAGAGUUAAAGAGUACGUGAAACCGUAUAGGGGUUAAGCCCGUUGAAUCUAAAUAUCCGAUAGAUGAAAUUCAGUACCGUACCUCAAAAAUACUGUAUGCACUUUUCAUCUAGUAGGACACUGCAAUCCGUUAGAUUAAAUGCAAUCAUUACGCAUUGCAUUUGAACCUAUCAAUGGAAUUCGCAUAGAUUGUUUAUCUGAUAUGGUACUCAACCUACCAUUCGAUAAGUCUAUAAUUGAAUUUCGAUAGUGUUUGACUGACGGCUUAAAACAAUCAUAAGCAUGCAUAUGCAAUUC
rnacentral:rRNA from 1 species